GAUAAUAUUUUGUAAUUAUCAAGCUACCAUAGUAUCAAUUUCCCUUUGAACAAGUCAUAAAUUCAUUGGCUACCUUACAAAAAGCAACCAUAAUAUUUCUUCAUUAUAAAUUCAAUCAUAUUCUCAAGAAUUUUUUUGCAACCAAUUCCAUUGAUAUAACGUUCUUUUCCUCUCAAGUUCUUGCAUAAAAUUUUCCUCUCCCUCAAGCCACAUGAAGACCUCCAACAUCUUCCUCCUCUUUCUAGUCACAUUCUUCAUCAUCACCGGUAAAUUUCUCGAAUUCUCUCAAUUUCUGAUCCUAAAAUUCGAUUCGAAUCCCAAAAAAACACUGUUAGAUUGUUUGGCAGGGGUUUUAAUCGUUGUUAUCUAACAAUGCAAACCCCUGUUAAUCAGCGAUUAUUUUGUUGUAUUGAUUUAAUAUUAUUCUCUUCACAUAUGGUAUAGGAAAUGAAGCGGUGACAGCCGCGAGAAUCAACGCCGGUGGAAAGUGUAAGGUCGGAACGGCCGGAGGGCCUCCUCCUUGUGUUCAACAAGCAUGCUACUUUCAGUGCAACUUGAAGUAUGGUAGCCCCGUUACUGGCCAAUGUGAAGGAUCAACUUGUGUUUGUUAUAGCCCUUGUUGAUUUAUGGGUGUUAUGUAAACUUAAUUAAUUGGUUGUUGGAAUAAUAUAUAAUUAAGGAGAACACAUUAGCGUAACUGGCACAUUUUAUUAUAUUUUUGCUAUAUAUUGUGCUUAAAACGACGAGUUUUGAGGUUCUUGUUUAUUAUUUAGGGUUUAGUACAUAGUGGUAAGUGUUUAGAGUCUAAUUAAGAGUUUUAUGAUUGGUUAAUUUAGAUUUAUGGUCAAAAGUUAGAGUUUGGAGUACGAUUAAGGAUAUGAUUUUAUGAUCAAAUGUUUGAGGGUUAGAAUUUAGCGUUUAGGGGUUUAACAUUAU
rnacentral:lncRNA from 1 species